rnacentral:rRNA from 1 species
CAGUCGCCGCGGUAAUACAGAGGGUGCGAGCGUUAAUCGGAUUUACUGGGCGUAAAGCGUGCGCAGGCGGUUAUAUAAGACAGAUGUGAAAUCCCCGGGCUCAACCUGGGAACUGCAUUUGUGACUGUAUAGCUAGAGUACGGCAGAGGGGGAUGGAAUUCCGCGUGUAGCAGUGAAAUGCGUAGAUAUGCGGAGGAACACCGAUGGCGAAGGCAAUCCCCUGGGCCUGUACUGACGCUCAUGCACAAAAGCGUGGGGAGCAAACAGGAUUAGAUACCCGUGUAGUCCCUGUCUCUUAUAC